AAUGAACGCUGGCGGCAUGCCUAACACAUGCAAGUCGAACGAAGGCCCGAUUUCGGUUGGGUCCUUAGUGGCGCACGGGUGCGUAACGCGUGGGAAUCUGCCCCUCGGUUCGGAAUAACAGUUAGAAAUGACUGCUAAUACCGGAUGAUGACGUAAGUCCAAAGAUUUAUCGCCGAGGGAUGAGCCCGCGUAGGAUUAGCUAGUUGGUGUGGUAAGAGCGCACCAAGGCGACGAUACUUAGCUGGUCUGAGAGGAUGAUCAGCCACACUGGGACUGAGACACGGGCCAGACUCCUACGGGAGGCAGCAGUGGGGAAUAUUGGACAAUGGGCGAAAGCCUGAUCCAGCAAUGCCGCGUGAGUGAUGAAGGCCUUAGGGUUGUAAAGCUCUUUUACCCGGGAUGAUAAUGACAGUACCGGGAGAAUAAGCUCCGGCUAACUCCGUGCCAGCAGCCGCCGUAA
rnacentral:rRNA from 1 species